CCCUUAGAUGUCCUGGGCCGCACGCGCGCUACACUGAGUGUCUGAGAUACGAGUCUGCCUGGUCCGGCAAGGUCUAGGUAAUCGCUAAAAGACACAUCAUGCUUGGGAUAGAUUAUUGCAAAUAUUAAUCUUGAACGAGGAAUUCCUAGUAAGCGCAAGUCAACAGCUUGCGUUUAUUACGUCCCUGCCCUUUGUACACACCGCCCGUCGCUACCACUGAUUGGAUGUUUAAGCGAGGUUCUCGAACUGCUAGCGACUUAGCUUCGGUGAGGUCGCAGUGUGGGAAGUGAACCUAGCUUUGGUGUCUAGAGGAAGUAAAAGUCGUAACA
rnacentral:rRNA from 1 species